rnacentral:rRNA from 1 species
GAAGAUUUGGGUCGACCCUUCCCGUGGACUGUUCGGGUGAUUUUGGCCCACGUGGGCUGUCUGUUCAGUACACACAGGACGUCCGUGGGUGGCUGCCAGCACACACAGGACAUCCGUGGCUGUCCGUGUGAGUCCGUCUGUGUCCGUCAGCACACACAGGACGUCCGUGGCUGUCCAUCAAUACACAUAUCAUCACGUUGGUCCUUUGACUCAGCACGCUGGCCCUUCCCGUGGACAGUUUGGGUGAUUUUGGCCCACGUGGGCUGUCUGUUCAGUACACACAGAACGUCCAUGGGUGUCCGCCAGCACACACAGGACGUCUGUGGCUGUCCGUCAGAACACACAGGACGUCUGUGGCUGUCCGUGUGUGUCCGUGUGUGUCCUUCAGCACACACAGGACGUCCGUGGCUGCCCAUCAGUACACAUAUCAGCACGUUGGUCCUUGGACUCAGCACGCUAACCCUUCCCGUGGACUGUUCGGGUGAUUUUGGCCCACGUGGAACGUCGCUAGAUGUCAUGUGUGUGCUGACAGACAACCACGGACAGCCACGGACAUCCUGUGUGUGCUGGCAGACACCCACGGACGUCCUGUGUGUACUGAACAUACAGCCCACGUGGGCCAAAAUCACACAAACAGUCUACGGGAAGGGCCAGCGUGCUGAGUCCAUGGACCAACGUGCUGAUACGUGUACUGAUGGACAGCGACGGACAUCCUGUGUGUUCUCGGAAAGACGGACAGACACUGACACACACAGACAGCCACAGACGUCCUGUGUGUGCUGGCGGACACCCACGAACGUCCUGUGUGUACUGAAUAGACAGCCCAUGUGGGCCAAAAUCACCCGAACAGUCCACGGGAAGGGUUAGCUUGCUGAGUCCAAGGACUAAUGUGCUGAUAUGUGUACCGAUGGGCAGCCACGGACAUCCUGUGUUUGCUGACGGACACACACGGACACACACGGAUAGCCACGGACGUGCUGUGUGUGCUGACGGACAGCCACAGACAUCCUGUGUGUGCUGGCAUACACCCACUGACGUCCUGUGUGUACUAAACAGACAGCCCACGUCGGCCAAAAUCACCCAGACAGUCCACGGGAAGGGCCAGCGUGCUGAGUCAAAGGACCAACGUGAUGAUAUGUGUAUUGAUGGAAAGCCACAGACGUCCUGUGUGUUCUGACGGACACACACGGACUCACACGGACAGCCACGGACAUCCUGUGUGUACUGGGGGACACCCACGGACGGCCUGUGUGUAAGGGGAUCCGGUUAAAAUUCCAGAACCGGUACAUGGCGGUUGACGGCAACGUUAGGAAGUCCGGCGACGUCGGCAGGAAUUCCAGAAACAGUUAUCUUUUCUGUUUAGCAGCCUGCCCACCCUGGAAACGGCUCAGCCGGAGGUAGGGUCCAGCGGCUGGAAGAGCACCGCACGUCGCGUGGUCUCCGGUGCAUUCCCGGCGGCCCUUGAAAAUCUGGAGGACCGAGUGCUGCUCACGCCCGGUCGUACUCAUAACCGCAUUAGGUCUCCAAGAUGAACAGCCUCUGGUCGAUGGAACAAUGUAGGCAAGGGAAGUCGGCAAAAUGGAUCCGUAAUUUCGGGAAAAGGAUUGGCUCUGAGGGCUGGGCUCGGGGGUCCCAGUUCCGAACCCGUCGACUGUUAGCGGGCUGCUUGAGUUGCUAACGUGGUGAGAGCGGACCGCCUCGUGUCGGCCUGGGGACAGACUGGGAACGGCUCUUUCGGGAUCUUUCCCCGAGCGUCGAACAGCCAACUCAAAAAUGGUACGGACAAGGGGAAUCCGACUGUUUAAUUAAAACAAAGAAUUGCGAUGGUCCCUGCAGAUGCUAACGCAAUGUGAUUUAUGCCCAGUGCUCUGAAUGUCAAAGUGAAGAAAUUCAACCAAGCGCGGGUAAACGGCGGGAGUAACUAUGACUCUCUUAAGGUAGCCAAAUGCCUCGUCAUCUAAUUACUGACGCGCAUGAAUGGAAUAACGAGAUUCCCACUGUCCCUGUCUACUAUCCAGCGAAGCACAGCCAAGGGAACAGGCUUGGCAGAAUCAGCAGGGAAAGAAGACCCUGUUGAGCUUGACUCUAGUCCGACUUUGUGAAAUGACUUGAGAGGUGUAGAAUAAGUGGGAGCUCCAGCGCAAGUGAAAUACCACAACUUUUAACGUUAUUUUACUUACUCCGUGAAUCGGAGGCGGGGUAACAACCCCUUUUUUUAGACCCAAGACUCGCUUCGGCGGGUCAAUCCGGGCGGAGGACAUUGUCAGGUGGGGAGUUUGGCUGGGGCGGCACAUCUGUUAAAUGAUAACGCAGGUGUCCUAAGAUGAGCUCAACGACAACAUAAAUCUCGUGUGGAACAAAAGGGUAAAAGCUCGUUUGAUUCUGAUUUUCAGUACGAAUAUGAACCGUGAAAGCUGGCUUGUGGCAGCCAAGCGUUCAUAGCGACGUUGCUGUUCGUGCUGAGUCUGUUCCAUUUUCAACUUCAGGAUUGAGAGCACGGUCUAUCAAGCCGUACUAUGGGUGAUUCUCAACUUCAGGACACCAAAUCUCCAACGCUUUACCACACAAAUACUCACUGAUGAAAGUCACAAGAUGGUGAGAAAGGGUCGUCCCAGC